GUCGUGUGACAGUUCGGUCCCUGACUGUCGCGGGCGUAGGAAGGUGGAGGAGAGCUGUCCUUAGGACGAGAGGACCGGGAUGGACGCACCGCUGGUGCACCAGUUGUCACGCCAGUGGCACAGCUGGGUAGCUAUGUGCGGACGGGAUAAGCGCUGAAAGCAUCUAAGCGUGAAGCCCCCUCCAAGAUGAGACUUCCCACAGCGUAAGCUGGUAAGACCCCUCAUAGACGAUGAGGUUGAUAGGUUCGGUGUGGAAGCGUGGUAACACGUGGAGCUGACGAAUACUAAUCGGUCGAGGACUUAUCCACACA
rnacentral:rRNA from 1 species